rnacentral:rRNA from 1 species
UACGGAGGAUGCAAGCGUUAUCCGGAUUUAUUGGGUUUAAAGGGUGCGUAGGUUGUUUGAUAAGUCAGUGGUGAAAGUCUGUCGCUUAACGGUAGGAUUGCCAUUGAUACUGUUAGACUUGAAUAUGGAUGAGGUAGGCGGAAUGUGUAGUGUAGCGGUGAAAUGCAUAGAUAUUACACAGAACACCGAUUGCGAAGGCAGCUUACUAAUCCAUCAUUGACGCUGAGGCACGAAAGCGUGGGGAUCAAACAGGA